rnacentral:lncRNA from 1 species
UGGCGUGGCAACGCGAGGCGAGGGCGUAACUCAGUAGAUAGCGCCCCAUCACUGAGACCGAGGUAGCAGUACCCUGAGACAGUCUAGCUUAGGGGUCUAGAAGACAAGAAAAGAAAAUGUAUCAAACUUGUACUCUGAUGUAAUAGUGAGAUUGUAAUUUGGAAGUAAAAAUAUAAACAGAAACUGUGAUGUAAAAGUGGUUGUAAAAUGAAUGCUUGUAAUAGCAAAUAGAUUAUGUAUUUGAUACUUCCUUAUGCAAUCUGGAUUGAUAUCCGUUCCUAGUUGGAACAUUCGUUGAUUGUUUGGAUUGCGACGCCUUGGACGUACUGGGGAGACUCUGUCCGCGUAC